AUGCAGUCGACGAUGAACCGCUUAUCGGGCGGGGAUUAGUGGCGAACGGGUGAGUAACACGUGGGCAAUCUGCCCUGCACUCUGGGACAAGCCCUGGAAACGGGGUCUAAUACCGGAUAUGACCGUCUGCCGCAUGGUGGAUGGUGUAAAGCUCCGGCGGUGCAGGAUGAGCCCGCGGCCUAUCAGCUUGUUGGUGAGGUAGUGGCUCACCAAGGCGACGACGGGUAGCCGGCCUGAGAGGGCGACCGGCCACACUGGGACUGAGACACGGCCCAGACUCCUACGGGAGGCAGCAGUGGGGAAUAUUGCACAAUGGGCGAAAGCCUGAUGCAGCGACGCCGCGUGAGGGAUGACGGCCUUCGGGUUGUAAACCUCUUUCAGCAGGGAAGAAGCGAAAGUGACGGUACCUGCAGAAGAAGCGCCGGCUAACUACGUGCCAGCAGCCGCGGUAAUACGUAGGGCGCAAGCGUUGUCCGGAAUUAUUGGGCGUAAAGAGCUCGUAGGCGGCUUGUCACGUCGGUUGUGAAAGCCCGGGGCUUAACCCCGGGUCUGCAGUCGAUACGGGCAGGCUAGAGUUCGGUAGGGGAGAUCGGAAUUCCUGGUGUAGCGGUGAAAUGCGCAGAUAUCAGGAGGAACACCGGUGGCGAAGGCGGAUCUCUGGGCCGAUACUGACGCUGAGGAGCGAAAGCGUGGGGAGCGAACAGGAUUAGAUACCCUGGUAGUCCACGCCGUAAACGGUGGGCACUAGGUGUGGGCAACAUUCCACGUUGUCCGUGCCGCAGCUAACGCAUUAAGUGCCCCGCCUGGGGAGUACGGCCGCAAGGCUAAAACUCAAAGGAAUUGACGGGGGGCCCGCACAAGCGGCGGAGCAUGUGGCUUAAUUCGACGCAACGCGAAGAACCUUACCAAGGCUUGACAUACACCGGAAACGUCUGGAGACAGGCGCCCCCUUGUGGUCGGUGUACAGGUGGUGCAUGGCUGUCGUCAGCUCGUGUCGUGAGAUGUUGGGUUAAGUCCCGCAACGAGCGCAACCCUUGUCCCGUGUUGCCAGCAGGCCCUUGUGGUGCUGGGGACUCACGGGAGACCGCCGGGGUCAACUCGGAGGAAGGUGGGGACGACGUCAAGUCAUCAUGCCCCUUAUGUCUUGGGCUGCACACGUGCUACAAUGGCCGGUACAAUGAGCUGCGAUACCGUGAGGUGGAGCGAAUCUCAAAAAGCCGGUCUCAGUUCGGAUUGGGGUCUGCAACUCGACCCCAUGAAGUCGGAGUCGCUAGUAAUCGCAGAUCAGCAUUGCUGCGGUGAAUACGUUCCCGGGCCUUGUACACACCGCCCGUCACGUCACGAAAGUCGGUAACACCCGAAGCCGGUGGCCCAACCCCUGUGGGAGGGAGCUU
rnacentral:rRNA from 1 species